AAGAGCACUUCGACAAUGCAAGAUAUGCCUGGGUUGAGCUUUAGCUGUCUGUUCAGUAUUCCAUUCCACCAUCCUAUCAGGUUCCUUAGACUGAAGUAAGAAGUGUGGUAUCAUGUGGAUGGAUAAUCCCUGGGAUGGCGGUGCUGAUAAAGUUGAACAUAGUUGGUGAUGAACCCAAAUGCAAUAAGGGCUAGUGUGGUAGUUCUCAGGGAGAACAAGCAUCUACAAGGCACCAAUUUCAGAUGGCAUGAAAAUAAUGAGCUUCAGCCACUCCCUCCGUUCAGGGUCCCUGACUUCCCGCAACACAGAAGCUCUCUAAUACAGAAAAGGAGAAGUCACCAACAGAGAGGAGAAGAGCAUGUGAAGACAGAUGCAGAGAAUGGAAUUAUGCAGCCACAAGCCAAGGAACAUCUGGAUGCACCAGAAGCUAUUAAAAAAAAAAAAAAAAAAAAAAAAAAGAUUCUCAUCAGAGUCUUCACAGACAGUGCAGCCCUGCCAAUACCAACACUUUGGUUUCAUAUGCUUGGCCUCCAAAACUGUGAGAGAAAAAAUUUCUACUUUUGUAACCCACCUAGUUUGUGGCUCUUUGUUACAGCAGCCACAGGAAACUAA
rnacentral:lncRNA from 1 species